GACGUAGGGCGCGAGCGUUGUCCGGAUUUAUUGGGCGUAAAGAGCUCGUAGGCGGCUUGUCGCGUCGUCCGUGAAAACCAGGGGCUCAACCCCUGGCUUGCGGUCGAUACGGGCAGGCUAGAGUUCGGUAGGGGAGACUGGAAUUCCUGGUGUAGCGGUGAAAUGCGCAGAUAUCGGGAGGAACACCGGUGGCGAAGGCGGCGACCUGGGUCGAUACUGACGCUGAGGUGCGAAAGCGUGGGGAGCAAACAGG
rnacentral:rRNA from 1 species